UUUGGAGGUUGAGAAAUGAGAACAAUUUGAUCAACACCAACUGCUCGGCUAACCAACUCAUACGGCAUAUCCAAGCCUCCCAUUGCCCAUCUCAAUUUUCAACCAUUUUAGCUUGGAAUUACCCACCAUUUUCAUCCAAUCUUUUACUCUCUCGUCUCCGGUGAGCACCCAAUGUUUACUCUAACACCUGCCCAUUGCUCUCCUUUAUCCUUCAAACCUUCAAAUUACUCUAAAAUUAAGAAACAUUUCAAGGUUUACGCAAAUGGGUUUCCUCCAUUUCUACCCAAAGAUGUCGAGAAUAUCAGCGAUUCAUUUGCCCGUAAAUUAGCUAUGAGAAUUGAGAGGCUACCCGUCCAGUUGACAUCAUCCUCGGAGACUUCUAUCAUGAGUAGUUGCGUACGACCAAUGGUGCAAGGGAAGAGUGAUCCAAUUGUUCUCCUACAUGGAUUUGAUAGUUCUUGUUUAGAGUGGAGAUACGCUUACCCAAUGCUCGAGGAGGCUGGCUUUGAGUGCUGGGCGUUUGACAUCCUUGGUUGGGGUUUCUCUGAUUUAGAAAGGCUUCCAGAUUGUGAUGUAGCAUCCAAGCGCAACCAUUUGUACCAGUUCUGGAAAUCUUACAUAAAAAGGCCAAUGAUACUUGUUGGACCAAGUCUUGGAGCGGCUGUUGCAAUUGACUUUGCAGUUAACCAUCCAGAAGCAGUUAGCAAACUGAUUCUGAUUGAUGCAAGUGUAUAUGCGGAAGGUACGGGUGAAAUGGCCAAACUGCCCCGUCUACUUGCUUAUGCUGGAGUUGCUUUAUUGAAAAGUGUUCCGCUACGACUCUAUGUGAAUCUUAUAGCCUUUAACAACGUAUCCUUUAGUACCAGCUUAGACUGGAUGAAAAUUGGUCGUUUGCAUUGCCAAUUUCCUUGGUGGGAGGAUGCUGCUGUUAACUUCAUGAUAAGCGGAGGUUAUAACGUUGUUCCUCUAAUAAAACAGGUAAAACAGCGGACGCUCAUAAUUUGGGGAGAGGAUGACCAGAUCAUCAGCUACAAACUGGCGUUGAGAUUGCACGGAGAGCUGCAAGACGCAAUUGUGCGACAAAUACCAGACUGUGGCCAUAUCCCUCACGUCGAAAAACCCAGUUCAGUUGCAGACCUGAUAAUUAAAUUUUCCCAACUGAAGUGUGGUACUGAAUUGUUCAGGGUUUGAUUAAUAAUGUGGGGAUGGCCUUAAGGUGGUCCUAAGAAGCUUUAACUCACAUUCAUUCAUAUAAGGAUUGCUUAGAACACAACGGUUUUGUGAUUGAUGGUGCGCAUGUUGGUGGUCCGUGGUGAUGUAAGUACAAAGCUUUGAUGGAGUCUGUUCAUUUACAUGUAUAAUGUAUUUGUCUUGUACAGCUCAUUCAUUAUAAAUCAUACUCCUUUUUAACUGCUAGUAUUUUGGGGUUUUACAUCUCCCCUUCUCCCUUUUAAGGUGCAACCUUUUAGUGUUCAAUUUAUGAAGAGGCCCAAUUAAAUUAAUUAUUAUUAUUAUAAGGCAAAAUGUUAAAAAACUACCUAGUAUAUACUCCAUUUUGCAAAAAACUACCUUAAAUAAAAUUUUUUGCAAAAAACUACCUUAUAUAAUACAAUUGUUUGCAAAACACUACCUUAUAACGGAUUGUGGCCUUUGACCGCUAUCUUUAACCGUUGACCCGCAUGUGAGACGCACG